GCCCCGUUAGCUCAGUUGGUAGAGCACGUGACUUUUAGCCUUGUGCGAUCACGCGGUCGCGGGUUCGAGCCCCGCGCGGGGCU